rnacentral:rRNA from 1 species
UACGAAGGGGGCUAGCGUUGCUCGGAAUCACUGGGCGUAAAGCGCACGUAGGCGGCUUUUAAGUCAGGGUGAAAUCCUGGAGCUCAACUCCAGAACUGCCUUUGAUACUGAGAGCUUGAGUCCGGGAGAGGUGAGUGGAACUGCGAGUGUAGAGGUGAAAUUCGUAGAUAUUCGCAAGAACACCAGUGGCGAAGGCGGCUCACUGGCCCGGUACUGACGCUGAGGUGCGAAAGCGUGGGGAGCAAACAGG